rnacentral:rRNA from 2 species
ACGGGAGGCAGCAGUAGGGAAUCUUCCACAAUGGACGAAAGUCUGAUGGAGCAACGCCGCGUGAGUGAAGAAGGGUUUCGGCUCGUAAAACUCUGUUGUUAAAGAAGAACAUAUCUGAGAGUAACUGUUCAGGUAUUGACGGUAUUUAACCAGAAAGCCACGGCUAACUACGUGCCAGCAGCCGCGGUAAUACGUAGGUGGCAAGCGUUGUCCGGAUUUAUUGGGCGUAAAGCGAGCGCAGGCGGUUUUUUAAGUCUGAUGUGAAAGCCUUCGGCUCAACCGAAGAAGUGCAUCGGAAACUGGGAAACUUGAGUGCAGAAGAGGACAGUGGAACUCCAUGUGUAGCGGUGAAAUGCGUAGAUAUAUGGAAGAACACCAGUGGCGAAGGCGGCUGUCUGGUCUGUAACUGACGCUGAGGCUCGAAAGUAUGGGUAGCAAACAGGAUUAGAUACCCUGGUAGUCCAUACCGUAAACGAUGAAUGCUAAGUGUUGGAGGGUUUCCGCCCUUCAGUGCUGCAGCUAACGCAUUAAGCAUUCCGCCUGGGGAGUACGGCCGCAAGGCUGAAACUCAAAGGAAUUGACGGGGGCCCGCACAAGCGGUGGAGCAUGUGGUUUAAUUCGAAGCUACGCGAAGAACCUUACCAGGUCUUGACAUACUAUGCAAAUCUAAGAGAUUAGACGUUCCCUUCGGGGACAUGGAUACAGGUGGUGCAUGGUUGUCGUCAGCUCGUGUCGUGAGAUGUUGGGUUAAGUCCCGCAACGAGCGCAACCCUUAUUAUCAGUUGCCAGCAUUAAGUUGGGCACUCUGGUGAGACUGCCGGUGACAAACCGGAGGAAGGUGGGGAUGACGUCAAAUCAUCAUGCCCCUUAUGACCUGGGCUACACACGUGCUACAAUGGAUGGUACAACGAGUUGCGAACUCGCGAGAGUAAGCUAAUCUCUUAAAGCCAUUCUCAGUUCGGAUUGUAGGCUGCAACUCGCCUACAUGAAGUCGGAAUCGCUAGUAAUCGCGGAUCAGCAUGCCGCGGUGAAUACGUUCCCGGGCCUUGUACACACCGCCCGUCACACCAUGAGAGUUUGUAACACCCAAAGUCGGUGGGGUAACCUUUUAGGAA